rnacentral:lncRNA from 1 species
AGAGGAGGAAGAGGAGGGGGAGCAGCAGGUGGAGGUGGCGGCGGCCAAGGAGGUGAGUUGGGUGUGUUUACAGCAGGAUCCAUAAAAUGGGCUCUUUCUGACUUCCAGUUUGGCUGGCUGCAGGUGAGCCUGGGGAGUCGGUGGAGCAAGUACCUGGAGACAUGUGAAGAGGCGGAGCCAGAGUCCCCACAGCAGGAGGAGCCGGGGUCUGAGGCUAGAAAGCAGCUCUGUAGCAGCAGGAAGAGGAGGAGGGCAGAGGAGCUUCCACACACAGGAGGAGGAGACGAAGACUCUCAGGUGAGCUGCAGAGCUCUAUCAGAGAGAUCAGACAUGCUGCAGGGCUCCAGACUAACUUUCUUCACUAGGAGCACUGUGGCCCCCAACUGAAAAUUUUAGGGGCGCAACCAGAAAAUUUAGGGGCGCAUACCGUAAAUCAACAUGCG